rnacentral:rRNA from 1 species
CUAUAAUGCAGUCGUACGCUUCUUUUUCCACCGGAGCUUGCUCCACCGGAAAAAGAGGAGUGGCGAACGGGUGAGUAACACGUGGGUAACCUGCCCAUCAGAAGGGGAUAACACUUGGAAACAGGUGCUAAUACCGUAUAACAAUCGAAACCGCAUGGUUUUGAUUUGAAAGGCGCUUUCGGGUGUCGCUGAUGGAUGGACCCGCGGUGCAUUAGCUAGUUGGUGAGGUAACGGCUCACCAAGGCCACGAUGCAUAGCCGACCUGAGAGGGUGAUCGGCCACAUUGGGACUGAGACACGGCCCAAACUCCUACGGGAGGCAGCAGUAGGGAAUCUUCGGCAAUGGACGAAAGUCUGACCGAGCAACGCCGCGUGAGUGAAGAAGGUUUUCGGAUCGUAAAACUCUGUUGUUAGAGAAGAAUAAGGAUGAGAGUAACUGUUCAUCCCUUGACGGUAUCUAACCAGAAAGCCACGGCUAACUACGUGCCAGCAGCCGCGGUAAUACGUAGGUGGCAAGCGUUGUCCGGAUUUAUUGGGCGUAAAGCGAGCGCAGGCGGUUUCUUAAGUCUGAUGUGAAAGCCCCCGGCUCAACCGGGGAGGGUCAUUGGAAACUGGGAGACUUGAGUGCAGAAGAGGAGAGUGGAAUUCCAUGUGUAGCGGUGAAAUGCGUAGAUAUAUGGAGGAACACCAGUGGCGAAGGCGGCUCUCUGGUCUGUAACUGACGCUGAGGCUCGAAAGCGUGGGGAGCAAACAGGAUUAGAUACCCUGGUAGUCCACGCCGUAAACGAUGAGUGCUAAGUGUUGGAGGGUUUCCGCCCUUCAGUGCUGCAGCUAACGCAUUAAGCACUCCGCCUGGGGAGUACGACCGCAAGGUUGAAACUCAAAGGAAUUGACGGGGGCCCGCACAAGCGGUGGAGCAUGUGGUUUAAUUCGAAGCAACGCGAAGAACCUUACCAGGUCUUGACAUCCUUUGACCACUCUAGAGAUAGAGCUUCCUCUUC